rnacentral:lncRNA from 1 species
AAUAUAACUAAAUAAACUAGCAUAAAAUCUCAUUCAUAGGGAUAACAAACACUGCAUUUAAUCACAUCGAAAUAAACAUAAAACAAAUAAAAUCAAAAAGGGAAAAAAACACCUGGUUGAACUUGAAAUUGAGCAAAAUUUGGUGUCGAUCUUGGGGAUGUUGAUUUAGGUAUAGGCACUAACAAGGAUUUUGGGGUGCAUUGUCAGGAGUUUUACUUUCCUUCGACGAUGGUGUAGUUUUUGAGGGAGAUGAUUUAGGACGUGCUAGUGAUGAAGUUGGGAGAAUUUGAG